AACGAACGCUGGCGGCAUGCCUAACACAUGCAAGUCGAACGAACCCUUCGGGGUUAGUGGCGCACGGGUGCGUAACGCGUGGGAAUCUGCCCUUGGCUUCGGAAUAACAGUUAGAAAUGACUGCUAAUACCGGAUGAUGUCGCAAGACCAAAGAUUUAUCGGCCAGGGAUGAGCCCGCGUAGGAUUAGGUAGUUGGUGGGGUAAAGGCCUACCAAGCCGACGAUCCUUAGCUGGUCUGAGAGGAUGAUCAGCCACACUGGGACUGAGACACGGCCCAGACUCCUACGGGAGGCAGCAGUGGGGAAUAUUGGACAAUGGGGGCAACCCUGAUCCAGCAAUGCCGCGUGAGUGAUGAAGGCCUUAGGGUUGUAAAGCUCUUUUACCCGGGAUGAUAAUGACAGUACCGGGAGAAUAAGCUCCGGCUAACUCCGUGCCAGCCGCCGCCGUAAUAC
rnacentral:rRNA from 1 species